UAUUAUUCUGUCUUUUAUCUGCAUUUUACCUCUGCUUUAUCUUGUUUCCUUCUAAUGAACCUGGAACUGCAGAGUAAAUAUUGUUGUCUCUGUGUCAGAUGGCUUGUUUUGUUCCUGGACUCUUCAGUGAUGAUGAGCAGAGUCUGAGUGAACCUGCUGUCAGACAGGUUGGGCCGAUAGACGAUUCCAUCGUCCAUCGCCGAUGGCUGAUAGACAUCACGAUGCUGCGCCGGCAAACAGCGUCAUGAGCUCCAGUAUCUCGCGCGUGCAUCCGUUGUCAUGCAACAGAGAAGUUGCGUCUAUGGACAGUUGUGAACGCGCUGACAGCUGGUUGCCCAGGCUUUGGAUUAAAGGAGCCACCGGUAUUUGGUCCUGUUGUUUUUUUCUCAAAAACCAGCAGCCGCUGACUUGCAUUUAAGAAUCACCAAGGGCAACGGUUUCACC